UUGUAGCUGACCUUAAACUGCCCGCUACUAAAACCUUUAACCUAUUUUUUUUAUUUUUUAUUUUUUUUAUUUUUUUAUUUUUUUUUCCCAAAGGAGAAGUACUACUUGUUUUUUUUUUUUCCGCCCAACCUUAGCUUCUCCUCCUCCUCCUUCACUCUUCUUCAUCUUCUAUGAGGGCUGCGAUUUUGAGCCGAUUUUGAGGGCUCGAAUCCCACCAUUUUUACUAUCUCUUCCUUUUAAAUCUGCUUCUUUGUAUUCUCUGUUCAUUCAAGAUAUGUUGAUUUGUUGUUUUUCGCGAAUUGAUUUUACGUUGGGUUGCGCGGAAUGGAAGCUUGAUUCGGAAUUGAUUCUGAUUUUGGGGGUUUUAAUGUUUGUGAAUCAAGUUGAUUUGUUGUGUUGAUAUUCGAAAUUCGAUGAGAUUUGUGGUUCCUCGCUAUUGUUGUUGUUGUUCAUCGUCUAGGGUUUGCGAUUUCCUCUUUUACAAUGACUUUCGCUUCCCAAACCAAUCGUCUGGUGAGAAAGUAAUUUACAAGUGAAGUUGAUUCUGCAAUUGCUGCAUUUAGGGGGUUGUCUGUGAGCUCAUGAGGAAGUUAGGCAGACCUUACCCAGUUAUUUCGAGUUGCUGCUCACUAAGCCAAAAAAUCUCGGUCUCAAAAUCGAAUAUUAAGAUUGCAGGUGGUAGAGAACAUUAGGAGAGUUUGUGACUUAAAAAGCUAAGCUGUAAGGUAAAGGGACUCACAUGGGGAAUCUGGGAUGCACAGAUUAUCGAAUUGCAUCCCCUAAUAUUACUUGGGGCUGAUGUAUUGUAUGAUACCAGUGGUAUGAGAAACCUAUGCCUUUCUUUUUGGGCCUUUAAUCUUUAUACUAGUAAACGCUUACACUAAUGCCCUACUUGUUUCGUUUAAGCUACCCUUUGAUGAUCUCUUCAACAACAUUGCAUCCAACCUCAAUAUGAGCAUGGAGCACAACUUCCUGAUGAUCUAGAUUCAAAAAAAUUUCCAACUCAAACCAAUGCAUCUAGACGAUUACAAGUUAAUCUGAAAUGAAUAGCACUUUUGCUAGCUUGAAAUAGAGACUGAUUGUGAAUUUUAAUAUUGCAGACCUCAUAUUAAUUUCAUUUUAUUUUAUUGUUUGCUACUGCAUUUCUCUUGUUUUUAAUUCAAAUUUACUAGUUAUGGGUUGCAGUUUCAGACCAUGUGUAUUUGUAUGAAUAGCUACUGGCCAUGUGAAAUCAAAUGCUUGGUAUUGUACGUGUUGUAUGUGGGUGUAUGUAGUGUAUUAAUGUUGUGUUAUUGGGUUGCAUUAAAAUCAGUGUGUGUAUUUCUCUCAUUAAAACCCGAAACUCAAGUAUCUAGGUUCUUUCACCGUAUAUUUUUGUUGUAUUUUUUAGAUGAAUCUCUAAUCUAUUGUUGUUUAUUGUAGUUGUAUUGGAGGAAAAUUAACAGCGAAUUCAGUCAAUUUGAGUCGUUCGUGUAGCUGCUCCACUAUUGCUCAUAAAUUUCAUUGUUCUGAGACGCUUUUGUUGUUGUGUUAAAGAGCCUUGUAUUAUAUUUGUUAAUUUUUUUUUGAGGGAAUUGUAUUUUUUAAUUUGUAAUUAUACUUCAUAAAUAACAUAAGUUUUGUUACAAUAGUAUAUAAUAUAGUUUGUGUAUCAA